rnacentral:rRNA from 1 species
AACAUAAGAAAGUCGCAUGGCUUUCUUAUCAAAGCUUUUGCGGUACAGGAUGGACCCGCGUCUGAUUAGCUAGUUGGUAAGGUAACGGCUUACCAAGGCGACGAUCAGUAGCCGACCUGAGAGGGUGAUCGGCCACAUUGGAACUGAGACACGGUCCAAACUCCUACGGGAGGCAGCAGUGGGGAAUAUUGCACAAUGGGCGAAAGCCUGAUGCAGCAACGCCGCGUGAGCGAUGAAGGCCUUCGGGUCGUAAAGCUCUGUCCUCAAGGAAGAUAAUGACGGUACUUGAGGAGGAAGCCCCGGCUAACUACGUGCCAGCAGCCGCGGUAAUACGUAGGGGGCUAGCGUUAUCCGGAAUUACUGGGCGUAAAGGGUGCGUAGGCGGUCUUUCAAGUCAGAAGUGAAAGGCUACGGCUCAACCGUAGUAAGCUUUUGAAACUGUAAGACUUGAGUCCAGGAGAGGAGAGUGGAAUUCCUAGUGUAGCGGUG